rnacentral:lncRNA from 1 species
AUGCUGAACUGCACUGAGUGUCUACAGCUGCUAUAUAUAUAUAUAUAUAUAUAUAUAUAUAUAUAUAUUAUUUUACAACACAAAUAUACAAUUUUCUCCAAUUUUUAACAAACAAAUUCUCUUUUUUGGACUUCCUUCAGCUUCUCUGGCAAUCAUCCAUCUGUACCUCUUAAUUACGCAUUCCUUCUCCUUUAGUAUUGUCUUUAGUCUUCCCUCCCACAUCUAUUGUUUUUGACAAUACCUAUUAAAUUUCACAAUGCUUCUUUAAAUCCCACUAACGUUGUUUGCACAUCGCAUAUAUUUUUCAGAUAUUCUACAAAUUUCCCCAGUCUUCGAUGAACUUUUGGUCUUUAAGAUAUCUGAUUUUCCCAGUUAGCUUGUCCAAUUCUGCAUAGUCCGUCAGUUUUGAUCUCCAAUCUUCUAUCGUCGGUAUUUCCUCUUGUUUCCAUUUCUGGGCCAGUAGAAUCCUUGCAGCUGUAACAGCAUAUUGAAAGAGUUUGCAGUCUUUUCUUCUUAUCUCGUUUCCUGUAAUCCCUAAAAGAAAAGCUUCUGGUUUCUUUACAAAUGUAUACUUUAACAUCUUUUUCAACUCGUUAUAUAUCAUCUCCCAGAAACUUUUAACUUUCUUACAAUCCCACCACAUAUGGUAAAACGUUCCUUCUUUUUCUUUACAUUUCCAACACUUAUUAGACAUCUUAAACAUUUUUGCCAAUUUUACUGGUGUUAUAUACCAUCUAUAGAACAUUUUCAUCACAUUUUCCUUUAACGCCGUACAUGCAGUGAAUUUUAAGUUUUCUUUCCAUAAUUUUUCCCAAUCCUCAAAUUGUAUAUUAUGACCAAAAUCCCUGGCCCAGUGUGUCUACAGCUGCUCUUAGCAGCAACCUUAUCUAUACACACGAUCUCUCUCUAACACUCAGUCUCUCUCUCUCUCUCUCUCUCUCCGAUACUGACUGACACUUUGAUGUUAGGCUGGAGCGGAAUAAGUAGAGAGCAGAAACCGCCCCUCCUCUCUGGAGAAUCAGCAGAGAACAUCAGCAGAUUCUUGGAUAUGGGAGGGGUGAAAUCUCAUCCUAAUCCCUCUCAUCCCUUCGUGGUGGAGACCGACGCCUCCAGUACGGCUCUCGGUGCCAUCUUGUCCCAGCAGCACGGACCUGCUGCGCUGCUGUUACUCUGCGCCUACUAUUCCUGCCAGCUUCUUCUGGCAGAGUGUAACUAUACCGUGUGGGAGCGGGAACUACUGGCCAUCAAGGUGACCUUUGAGGUCUGGAGCCAUCAUCUUGAGGGGGCAAGACACCUGGUGGAUGUGAGAACUGACCACCGGAACCUGGAGUACCUCCAGACUGGGUCGACCACUUGGCAUUGGAGGAGUUUGCUUACAACAAUACGUUGAACGCCUCCACCCAGCAGACCGUUUCAGGCCAUGGACGGUUACCAUCCUCGUUUGUUCCCGGAUGUGCUGCAAGCAUCUGCAGUCCCGAGGGUGACAGAUUGGCUCCAGGAGCUCCAGUCUCAGCACCAACUAUUGAUGGAGCAACUGCGCCAGGCCAAGGAUGCGUACAAGGCCCAGGCCGACCGCCACCACCAGGUGGGGCCGGAACUCCACGUCGGCGAGCCAUGGGGCUAUAUAAAUUCUAAUUGGACUCCGUUUGAAUUGGACAAUUGUAUCCAGGCUGCAGUUAGCUUUUUGGUCCCUUAGGAACAACUGAGCAACUUCCCUAGAGUGGAAGACCAGAGCCUAUUAUAAUAAAAAUCCCAUAGAAAGGCCAAGGCAAAGACAUCUCUCUCAAGAAAUGUCCAAACCUGUGCCACUACAAGGUGACAUGGUCAAUAUGAAAGCCCUACAGGGAUUCACCAGGGAUUGUUGCUGCUGUGAUAUGACGGAGGUGUGAGACCAGAGGAAAGCUAGCUUUGACACCUGGGAACACACAAAAAAGGCAGAAACAAAACAAACUGCAUUUUUCACUCAUUAUUUGACCUUCCCGCUAAGUGUAAAGCAGAGACCACUAUUGAGAAUGUUUCUCCCAAAGUGCUAGAAUGCCACAAGUAAUUUAGUACAAAAUGCAACAUGUGUUAUUUUUUAUGUGAUAUCCUAUGUCCAGCUAUGUGCACUGCUACACCUGCAAAUAGCCUUAAGAGGCCUGACAUGCAAGUCUCUUAAGAUUUACACGAAGGCAUCCAUUUGCAACAUACCAGGUUAUUAUUUGUGGGGCAACAAUAUUUUAGAAAAAAAUUAUAUCGCCAAAAAAACCCACAGGAAAAGUCCUAAAGCCAUUUUGACUCUUUCACUCUUUCAGUCACCUCAAAUAUUUCUCUACAAGGUAAAAGGAAAUGCAGAAACCUCCCCAUUGUCUCUGUCCUCACAAAUCCUGCCUUAAGGGCACAUUUAAGGUGUGAAUAGGGUGAGCCUGUGACCUGGCUCAGGAAUGAAGUAUUAUCAUUACAAAAGAAUGGCCAGCCUCCCCAGGUAAUCUAGUCAAGUGGCCAUUAACAGGUAACCUGGCAGACAAGGUAAAAACUAUGCACUCAGAUUUCUGUUGUAGACUGCCUUUUCUGUGAUGUAUGUAUGAUGUUUCUGGGGGUGGUCUUGGACUCCAGGGCGGGCAAUUAAAAAUAUAUAAGGGCUUACAUGUAUAUAUAAGGGCUUACAUAUCUAUAUAAGGGCUUGCAUGCAGGGCUCAGGGUCCUCCUCCUCUCUCCUGCGUGUGGGGUAGCACCCUGUUGCAACAGUUAAUAAAGAACAGGCUUACUAGCUGCUUUGCUUCUUAAUAUUCUCUGGUUGGUCUCUGUUAUUUUCUCCUACCGAUAGAGAACGUACAAAAGGACUGUAUAUGGGCUCUUGGGUACCCCAUAAGGAAAAAGGAGCAGGUUUUUUCCUUAUAUCACCUGCAAUCAUGUGUGGUGUGUUAGCAAUUCACUCCUCCCGUUGUUGAAUAUGUGGCUUGUAUGUCACAUGUCCCUGUUUACUUUCCUAGGAUUGGGAAGUGUAAGAACGGAAGUCAGUCUUAUCUCUUCCGCUCUGCUGUGCUUUUGCACUGUUCUUUGUCUCCCUGUCUGUUGCUGAAGAAGAGAGAGGAUGCCAUUAUGAUCCGUCUGGUCUCGUCUGCAAAUGUGAUGAGCAUCCCCUCAGUUCCUUCAUCCAUGUCAUUUAUCAAGACAUUGAACAACAACGGGCCCAGGACAGAACCCUGCAGCACCCCUCUUGUCACUUUUCCCCAGGAUGAGGAGGAACCAUGAAGGAGUCUUCUUUGGGUUCGGUCCGUCAAAUCCACCUAACAGUUACCUCAUUCAGUCUCAUUUUACCAGCAUCCUCACAUAAAUAUCACAGAGGACUUUGUCAAAAGCCUUACUGAAAUCAAAAUACACAAUUUCCACAGCAGUCCACUGAUCAACAAAGUUUAUAACUCCAUCCAAAAAAAGAAAAGAAAAGGAGAGAUUUCUCUGGCUUGGCUGGUUUUUGAGAAAGCCAUGCUUUCAUCCUGUAUGUUUAUAUUGUAAAAUCUUCAGAUAAAUUUUAAAAAGGAUAAAUGAGGAUAUAGACAAGCUGGAACAUGUGCAAAGGGAGGCGAUUUAUGUAUUUAUUUAAUUUGUAAACCGCCCGACCCAGUGGUGCCGACUUGAAUAAAAUAUUGGUGGAGGGUCAGGUAAGUCCCGCCUUGCACUAUCAGUCACAUGAUGCAUGCACACCAUUUGAAUGGCAAGGUCUAUAAUGGCAGCGACUUUUUAAAAAAGUAAUAUUUUGAGCCGGUAGCUCAAUUUCCCAGCAGCUCCCCUUGCCCCGGAGAACACUUCUAGCCUUCCAUCUCCUCUACCUGUGGCAUUGUUCAGCAGUGGGGAUAGUGACCUCUUCACACCAGAUGUCCAUUUGGUAUGGCCCUUUCCAAGUUUGUCUUUCAUUUGUUCUCCUAUGUGUGUUGCCAAUAGAAGCCAAAAUUGUAUGGGUACUCUAGGUGGUGCAGAAAGCUGGUUUUGGACUACACCUCCCAUCAUCCCUAGCUAGCAGGACCAAUGGGGAGGGAUGAUGGAAACUGAAGUCCCGGGAGCUGCAGGGGACCCAAGUUUGGGAAAGCCUCCUUUAAAGCAACUUUUGCGUUGGGACCUGUCCACAUUUGUAUUUUCUUGUAUUUUGUUUUUCUCAUGACCUUUGUGCGGUUUUUAAAAUGUCUUAAAAGGGCAAAUUUAAAGCAAAAUUGUAUGGCAAGUAGCGGAAGAAUAAAAGGUUGCAUUUGAAAAAAACACAAAGAAAACCUAGGGCGUGGCCUCCUCAAAUAUUUUAUGGGGGGGCAAAGACCCCUAGGAAUUUAAGAGUGGCUGUAUUCCCUACACCCACACGUCUCAGGAUGCUUGGAACAUAAAAACACAACAUAAAAACACAAAACAUCACAUGUUAAAAUAGCAUUAGAUGUCAAUAAGAAAAAGGCCUGGUUAAAAGGUGUGGAUUUGCCUGGCUCCUAAAGCUGUAUAAUGGUUUUUCUGACCUUUGUACGGAUUCUUUGAUGGGAAGUGAGAGAGGAGCUCUUCCUGAAACUCUUUCCACAUUCCACACACUAAUAGGGUUUCUCCCUGUAUGAAUUCUGUGAUGGGAAGUGAGAGAGGAGCUCUGACUGAAGCUCCUUCCACAUUCCACACACUGAUAGGGUUUCCCCCUGUAUGAAUUCUUUGAUGGCAAGUGAGAGAGGAGCUAUCAGUGAAGCUCUUUCCACAUUCCAAACACUGAUACGGUUUCUCCCCUGUAUGAAUUCUUUGAUGGGAAGUGAGAUUGGAGCUGGUACUGAAGCUCUUUCCACAUUCCACACACUGAUAGGGUUUCUCCCCUGUAUGAAUUCUGUGAUGGUAAGUGAGUUUAGAGCUAACAGUGAAGCUCUUUCCACAUUCCACACACUGAUAGGGUUUCUUCCCUGUAUGAAUUCUUUGAUGGCAAGUGAGAUUGGAGCUAUGAGUGAAGCUCUUUCCACAUUCCACACACUGAUAGGGUUUCUUCCCUGUAUGAAUUCUUUGAUGGCAAGUGAGAGAGGAGCUAUGAGUGAAGCUCUUUCCACAUUCCAUGCACUGAUAGAGUAUCUUUCCAAUGAGAUUUUGUUGAUGGGAAGUGGAAUUGGAGCUCUGACUGCAGCUUUCUCCACACUCCAAUUUUUGUGUGGUUUCUCCUCUCUGGGGAUUUUUUCGUGGUCACCUUUGUUCUCAAUUUCCAAUUCAUCACAAUCUGCAUCGGAGACAAAAAGGGAUUAGAGCCUCAGGAACAAAUGGAGAAGAACUGAAGGGAGUUGCGUGUGUGUUCAUUACCUAUGUUGUUUGUUUAAUAUGAGAUUCGGAUGAGCUGUUGAAUGUUGCUUUGUUUAUAUAAAGUAGGGGUGAAAAUUGUGGACGAUUUUUGGAAAAAAGUGUAUUUCAGAGGUUUGAUGGCUUAUAACACCACUUCAUUUGGAGUAAUGUCAUAAAAUUAUAUAUCAAUGGAAAGAUAAUUUGAUCAAGAAUGCAAUCAAGAAUGCAAUCCAACAAAGUUUGUUCAAUUACCUGUAUUUAAUCAAAUGUUAUAG